rnacentral:rRNA from 1 species
AAACCGUUCAGGGGUAAACCUGAGAAACCCAAAAGAUCGAAUGGGGAGAUUCAUCGUCAGCUUUAUCGGCUUGCGUGCUGCUCGCGAUGCUCGUUGGGUGUAGCGUUGGUAACAGCGUUGCAUUUUCUACGGGGACGCGGUGGCUGCGUAAUUUUUGUCCGGUCAAAGUCGGCGUGCACUUCUCCCCUAGUAGGACGUCGCGACCCGUUGAGUGUCGGUUUAAGGCCCGCGAGGUUGCCUGCCGGUCGAUUACCGGUGCUUUCGGGCACACGGGAUCGUCGGUAGACCCGCGGUCGCCCAACCGACUGCUCGGCGGUAAAAAAUCGUUUGAAAUCAAUGGUAUCGAGCCGCAUUCGAAUGCGUCCUUUUUGGCUCGUCGGCAGGUGAGCAUCGUCUCGGAUUUACGGACCUAGCGCCGUUGUCGAGCGUUUGCUUGCCGUUACGCCGACGAUGUCCUCGGACGGGCUCUAUGGAGAGAAUUUUUUUUCUCUCUUGUUACCAGUCAGCGACGCUACUGCUUUGGGUACUUUCAGGACCCGUCUUGAAACACGGACCAAGGAGUCUAACAUGUGCGCGAGUCAUUGGGACUUGUUUAUAAUAAGCCUAAAGGCGCAAUGAAAGUGAAGGUCCGCUUUGAUGCGCGACCGAGGGAGGAUGGCCGUUUGGUUUUUUAAUUUUCAAUUAAAUUAUUGGACGGCCCGCACUCCCGGGGCGUCUCGCGCUCAUCGCGAGCUGAGGCGCACCCAGAGCGUACACGUUGGGACCCGAAAGAUGGUGAACUAUGCCUGGUCAGGACGAAGUCAGGGGAAACCCUGAUGGAGGUCCGUAGCGAUUCUGACGUGCAAAUCGAUCGUCGGAACUGGGUAUAGGGGCGAAAGACUAAUCGAACCAUC